AUUGAACGCUGGCGGCAGGCCUAACACAUGCAAGUCGAACGGUAGCACAGAGAGCUUGCUCUCGGGUGACGAGUGGCGGACGGGUGAGUAAUGUCUGGGAAACUGCCUGAUGGAGGGGGAUAACUACUGGAAACGGUAGCUAAUACCGCAUAACGUCGCAAGACCAAAGAGGGGGACCUUCGGGCCUCUUGCCAUCGGAUGUGCCCAGAUGGGAUUAGCUAGUAGGUGGGGUAACGGCUCACCUAGGCGACGAUCCCUAGCUGGUCUGAGAGGAUGACCAGCCACACUGGAACUGAGACACGGUCCAGACUCCUACGGGAGGCAGCAGUGGGGAAUAUUGCACAAUGGGCGCAAGCCUGAUGCAGCCAUGCCGCGUGUAUGAAGAAGGCCUUCGGGUUGUAAAGUACUUUCAGCGGGGAGGAAGGGGUUGAGUUUAAUACGCUCAAUCAUUGACGUUACCCGCAGAAGAAGCACCGGCUAACUCCGUGCCAGCCGCCGCGGUAAGAC
rnacentral:rRNA from 1 species